UACGAAGGGGGCUAGCGUUGCUCGGAAUCACUGGGCGUAAAGCGCACGUAGGCGGCUUUCUAAGUCAGGGGUGAAAUCCUGGAGCUCAACUCCAGAACUGCCUUUGAUACUGAGGAUCUUGAGUACGGGAGAGGUGAGUGGAACUGCGAGUGUAGAGGUGAAAUUCGUAGAUAUUCGCAAGAACACCAGUGGCGAAGGCGGCUCACUGGCCCGUAACUGACGCUGAGGCACGAAAGCGUGGGGAGCAAACAGGG
rnacentral:rRNA from 1 species